UUCAUUCAGAUGCGGCGACCCCGUAUUAAUAAAGGGACUAAGCCGAAAAGAAAAUGAACGAAUGAAUGAAUUAUUGAAUCUAUUUCUUCAGCCUAUUUUUGUAGAAAUGCAAAUAUUAUUUCAGAUAUUUAAAUUGGAUUGAAUUUGACUUUUAGAUUAUCAUGAAACUAACGUUAAAAGAAAUUUAGGGAUGCACGAUAUAUCAGUGGUCAUAUUGAUAUCGGCCGAUAAAUGCUAUUUUUAAUGUUUUUAAUAUCAGUCAAAAUUAAGCUGUUAUCUUUAAGCCGAUAGAUUAUGUAAUUGUACAGAACUGCCUGCCUCGUGCAUAGAUCAAACUUGUUCAGACUUGACUGGUGCACUAAAACUGAGCUUUCCUUGCGUUGUUUAUUCCUUCAAAGUCCAUCCUUUCUUUGUGUGGUUUUGCUGUUCAUUAACAACUCAAAGACAAAGGCUGACAUGCAAUGGACUUGUGGUGGUGUCUGAAGGCAUGAGACGUGGAGCACAGAUGGUCUUGAUUCUAGAGUGUCCCACCCAAACUGCAAGGCUUCCUGGAGCUGAGGAACAUGGGACAUCUCUGCCUGACUCU